GCAAGUGUAUCUAGAACGAAAGAAACCCUAGAACAAUUCCGAGGACUUGGUCUGUCUCCAGAUGGAUGGAAGAAAGAAAAUUCUGCAAUCUUUCAGUCUUUCAGGGCUCAGAAGCCAAGCAGCCCAACACAGAGACUGCAGAGAAAGGCCUGCUGAGCUGGGAAAGUGCCUCAUGUGUAAGACGAGUAAUGCUUUAAACAAAUUGGAUCAUGCAGCUGGGAGAAUGAGAGUUAGUAUCAGCAAUAACGAAUAUUCCUGCAUUUUUAUAGAACAAUUAUUGAUUGUCUAGAAGAGUUUAGAGCUCAAGGUCUGUCUGUGUUCAUAUCAGUCUUAUGUACUACGCCAAAUCUACUGACUCAAUGAUGUGACCAUACUCAUCAUUGCUGCUUAUUCAUUGAGAAUCUGCGAUAUGGAAAUCACUGUACAUACAUUAACUCUCCUCAAAAGGUCUUAUUGGGAUGUGGUAAGGGUUAUUUUUUAAAAAUUAUGAUUUACCAAUGAGAAAACAGGACUACAGAGAUUAAGUAAGUUGUUCAAAGUAAC
rnacentral:lncRNA from 12 species